ACCAGGGAGACCUCAUCUUCCAACCAAGCUUGCUGGGCUAGCUUUAAUCAAUGCUGGCCUGAGAACAGAAGCAGAACACUGCCUAGUAGACCCUGAGGCUUUACAACAGUGCCACUGGCCCCUAUGAGCCUGAUGCUGCAUGACCAACCCCCUGUGGAGGCCCAGUAUGCAGAGGAGGGCCCAGGACCUGGGAUCUUCAGAGAAGAGCCUGGAGACCAGCAGCAUCCCAUUUCUCAGGCAGUGUGCUGGCGUUCCAGGCGACGUGGCUGUGCAGUGCUGGGAGCCCUGGGGCUGCUGGCCGGUGCGGGUGUUGGCUCAUGGCUCCUAGUGCUGUAUCUGUGUCCUGCUGCCUCUCAGCCCAUUUCCGGGACCUUGCAGGAUGAGGAGAUUACUUUGAGCUGCUCAGAGGCCAGCGGUGAGGAAGCUCUGCUCCCUGCACUUCCCAAAACAGUAUCUUUCAGAAUAAACAGCGAAGACUUCUUGCUGGAAGUGCAAGUGAGGGAUCGGCCAGGCUGGCUCCUGGUCUGCCAUGAGGGCUGGAGCCCCACCCUGGGGCUGCAGAUCUGCUGGAGCCUUGGGCAUCUCAGACUCACUCACCACAAGGGAGUAAACCUCACUGACAUCAAACUCAACCGUUCCCAGGAGUUUGCUCAGCUCUCUCCUAGACUGGGAGGCUUCCUGGAGGAGGCGUGGCAGCCCAGGAACAACUGCACUUCUGGUCAAGUUGUUUCCCUCAGAUGCUCUGAGUGUGGAGCGAGGCCCCUGGCUUCCCGGAUAGUUGGUGGGCAGUCUGUGGCUCCUGGGCGCUGGCCGUGGCAGGCCAGCGUGGCCCUGGGCUUCCGGCACACGUGUGGUGGCUCUGUGCUAGCGCCACACUGGGUGGUGACUGCUGCACAUUGUAUGCACAGUUUCAGGAUGGCCCGCCUGUCCAGCUGGCGGGUUCACGCGGGGCAAGUCAGCCACAGUGCCGUCAGGCCCCACCAAGGGGCUGUGGUGGAGAGGAUUAUCCCACACCCCCUCUACAGUGCCCAGAAUCAUGACUACGACGUCGCCCUCCUGAGGCUCCGGACCCCUCUCAGCUUCUCAGACACCGUGGGUGCUGUGUGCCUGCCGGCCAAGGAGCAGCAUUUUCCGAAGGGCUCGCAGUGCUGGGUGUCUGGCUGGGGCCACACCGACCCUGGCCAUACUUACAGCUCGGAUAUGCUCCAGGACACGGUGGUGCCCCUGCUCAGCACUCAGCUCUGCAACAGCUCUUGCGUGUACAGCGGAGCCCUCACCCACCGCAUGCUUUGUGCUGGCUACCUGGACGGAAGGGCUGAUGCAUGCCAGGGAGAUAGCGGGGGCCCCCUGGUAUGCCCAGAUGGGGACACAUGGCGCCUGGUGGGGGUGGUCAGCUGGGGGCGUGGCUGCGCAGAGCCCAAUCACCCAGGUGUCUACGCCAAGGUAGCUGAGUUUCUGGACUGGAUCCAUGACACUGCUCAGGCCUGGGCCCUGCUGGGGGCUGAGGAGGGGGCUAGGACAUGUUCCCCAGAGUGAGUGGAGGAAGAAGUGAAGCUUAAACAUUGAAUCCAUUGGAUUUCUAUCAAUUUAAGGAUGAACUGGGACUCCCUCCUCUGAGUCCUGCUGUUUCCUCCAGUCUCACUGCACACCACCGCCUCAUGCUUCCUGGGGCCUUCAGCAGCUCCACUAAUGGAGGAAAGGCAGUAGCCUCUGAUGCAGAAUGCAUGGACCUCCUACUACUGUGCGUGAGGAACAGUCACCACCCACUGGCCAGCCACCCAGCCACCAGGUCUCUCCUCUUGGGCCCUGAUUUCAGAGUCCUCUUUCUCACUAGAGACUCAAUGACAGAAGAGAGGCUGGGGCUCGGUUGGGCAUGCUGUGGUUGCUGAGGGAUGAGAGGGAGGAGGAGAGAGGUAGGAGCUGGAGAUGAAGAGGCUGCUGGAAGCAGCAGGAAGCCUGCCCUUCUCCCCUCUCCCCUCCCUGCCCCUGUGUGAGUCUUUUGGGAGGGUGCUGGGAGGUGCCCCCAGUCCCGCCUUUUCCCUGUGCUCUCAGGUGGGCUGAGUGCCUCCCUAGAGGACUCCAUGGCUGAGAGGCUCCUGGGCAGAUGGGGUCAAGGCUGGGCCAGCCCAGAUGAAGCCUACGGGAGUCAGGACCCUCUCCACUCUCCCUCUCCACUCCCCUUCCUGUUCUCACCUGGCUCUGGCUGGCUCUGUUUGGGGUGGGUGCACUGGAAAACAAGAAGGUUGGAGUUGGUCUAGGACGUUGGUUUUAAAUGACAGUUCUGUGAACUGGUCCAAGGAGUUCUGUUAUUAAAGUGAUAUAUGGUCUUGG